UAUAUGAAUUCUUUCUUAUAUCAAAUCAAUUUAGUGAAGAAUAAAUUGCACUAUUAUUUUUAUUUUUAUGACACUAUAAAGCGUCAGGAUUUUUUAAAAAAAAAACUAGAUAUUUUAAGUAGUCAGAAUAUAUUUCACUGAUGCAUGCAUGGCUCGAGCAUCAGUAUAUAUGUGAUGAUUCUUUAUUUACCGGCGUUGCAAAUACAAUGGUAGACAAUUUUGGAAUGCUUUUUAAGUAUUAGUAAUUACCCGAAAAAUAGAGCAUCAGGGCUGGGUUCACAGAGUUUUUAGGCUAAAAAUUAAGAAGAAAUAAAAAGCUUAAAUGAUGGUAUUCAAUUCAGAAAAAGACUUUUUUUUUUUUUAGAGAUAGAUAGCACGCUACCCGCUUCGUUUAUUUCAUUUAAAAAUAAACUUAGCUAAAAAUGUGAAUCAACUAGAAUUCGAACUUGGAUCUCGGGUAUCAACCACCAAGUCCUUUGCCACCUACUCUAGGGACGAUCAGUCAGAAAAAGACUUUUAUUGU
rnacentral:lncRNA from 1 species